rnacentral:sRNA from 4 species
GUCGUAACAAGGUUUCCGUAGGUGAACCUGCGGAAGGAUCAUUGUCGAAUCCUGUAGUAGCAGACCGCGAACAUGUUUAAUCACAUUGGGAUUGUGGCGGGGGUAAUCUCUCGUCGCAUCCCCCUCCCUGCACGCACUCGCUUUAGUGGGUGUUGUGUGGGCUAACGAACCCCGGCGCGGAAUGCGCCAAGGAUUACUAAUGAAUUGUCCACCCACUUGGCCCCGUUCGCGGUGAGUUAGGGGGAGAGGAUGAAUCUCCAAUGUCAAAACGACUCUCGGCAACGGAUAUCUCGGCUCUCGCAUCGAUGAAGAACGUAGCGAAAUGCGAUACUUGGUGUGAAUUGCAGAAUCCCGUGAACCAUCGAGUCUUUGAACGCAAGUUGCGCCCAAAGCCUUUUGGCCAAGGGCACGUCUGCUUGGGCGUCACGCAUCGUGUUGCCCCCUCCUCUGUCCUUCUGGGACAAUGCUUAGGUGGGGGCGGAUAAUGGCCUCCCGUUCGUCAUGACGUGCGGUUGGUCCAAAUGAGAUCCUGCGGCGAUGCACGUCGCGACCAGUGGUGGUUGAACUCUCAACUCAACUCUCGUGUCGUUGUGACGUUUGGCGUUGUGCGGUGGGAUUAUUGCAUACCCAAUCGUGCGAUCUAUUUCGCGCUUUCGACCGCGACCCCA